rnacentral:rRNA from 1 species
AACGAACGCUGGCGGCAUGCCUAACACAUGCAAGUCGAACGAGACCUUCGGGUCUAGUGGCGCACGGGUGCGUAACGCGUGGGAACCUGCCCUUAGGUUCGGAAUAACUCCCCGAAAGGGGUGCUAAUACCGGAUAAUGUCUUCGGACCAAAGAUUUAUCGCCUUUGGAUGGGCCCGCGUUGGAUUAGCUAGUUGGGAGGGUAAAAGCCUACCAAGGCGACGAUCCAUAGCUUGUCUGAGAGGAUGAUCAGCGACACUGGGACUGAGACGCGGCCCAGACUCUUACGGGAAGCGGGAGUGGGUGAUGGUGCAAAACGGGGGGAGGGCUGAACGUGCUCUGAUGGGUAAGCGCUGUAGGUCGGAGGGUUGUAAAGUUUAAGUAACCGGGAUGAUAAUGACGGUACCUGAAGAAUAAGCUCCGGCUAACUACGUG